rnacentral:rRNA from 1 species
CACGCUGUAAACGAUGCCAACUGGAUGCCUGUGGUCCGAAAGGAUUGUGGGUGUCGGAGCUAACGCGGUAAGUUGGCCGCCUGGGGAGUACGGUCGCAAGGCUAAAACUCAAAGGAAUUGACGGGGGCCCGCACAAGCAGCGGAGCGUGUGGUUUAAUUCGAGGCUACACGAAGAACCUUACCUGGGUUUGACAUCACGGUGGUAGGGACCUGAAAGGGAACCGACCGCAAGGAGCCGUGACAGGUGC